rnacentral:rRNA from 1 species
AUGGCCUACGGGAGGCAGCAGUGGGGAAUAUUGGGCAAUGGGCGCAAGCCUGACCCAGCAACGCCGCGUGAAGGAAGAAGGCUUUCGGGUUGUAAACUUCUUUUCUGAGGGACGAAGCAAGUGACGGUACCUUAGGAAUAAGCCACGGCUAACUACGUGCCAGCAGCCGCGGUAAUACGUAGGUGGCAAGCGUUAUCCGGAUUUACUGGGUGUAAAGGGCGUGUAGGCGGGAAAGCAAGUCAGAUGUGAAAACCACGGGCUCAACCUGUGGCCUGCAUUUGAAACUGUUGUUCUU